rnacentral:rRNA from 2 species
AGCGGCGGACGGGUGAGUAACACGUGGGUAACCUGCCUGUAAGACUGGGAUAACUCCGGGAAACCGGGGCUAAUACCGGAUGGUUGUUUGAACCGCAUGGUUCAAACAUAAAAGGUGGCUUCGGCUACCACUUACAGAUGGACCCGCGGCGCAUUAGCUAGUUGGUGAGGUAACGGCUCACCAAGGCAACGAUGCGUAGCCGACCUGAGAGGGUGAUCGGCCACACUGGGACUGAGACACGGCCCAGACUCCUACGGGAGGCAGCAGUAGGGAAUCUUCCGCAAUGGACGAAAGUCUGACGGAGCAACGCCGCGUGAGUGAUGAAGGUUUUCGGAUCGUAAAGCUCUGUUGUUAGGGAAGAACAAGUACCGUUCGAAUAGGGCGGUACCUUGACGGUACCUAACCAGAAAGCCACGGCUAACUACGUGCCAGCAGCCGCGGUAAUACGUAGGUGGCAAGCGUUGUCCGGAAUUAUUGGGCG